UGGUAAAAUUUCAUCCAUUUUUAUUGUUAAAAACUCGUGUAGCUGAUGGAAUAACCAAAUAAUUACACGUGGCGUGCUAUGUGUUUUUAACGGUAGAAAUGGAUGGAAUUUUUAAUA
rfam:Gossypium raimondii Chr05_contig_1344, whole genome shotgun sequence.